AGCGGCGGACGGGUGAGUAAUGCCUAGGAAUCUGCCUGGUAGUGGGGGAUAACGUUCGGAAACGGACGCUAAUACCGCAUACGUCCUACGGGAGAAAGCAGGGGACCUUCGGGCCUUGCGCUAUCAGAUGAGCCUAGGUCGGAUUAGCUAGUUGGUGAGGUAAUGGCUCACCAAGGCGACGAUCCGUAACUGGUCUGAGAGGAUGAUCAGUCACACUGGAACUGAGACACGGUCCAGACUCCUACGGGAGGCAGCAGUGGGGAAUAUUGGACAAUGGGCGAAAGCUUGAUCCAGCCAUGCCGCGUGUGUGAAGAAGGUCUUCGGAUUGUAAAGCACUUUAAGUUGGGAGGAAGGGCAGUAAAUUAAUACUUUGCUGUUUUGACGUUACCGGCAGAAUAAGCACCGGCUAACUCUGUGCCAGCAGCCGCGGUAAUACAGAGGGUGCAAGCGU
rnacentral:rRNA from 1 species